GUGGGCAUGGCUCAAGUUGUAGAGCACCUGCUUAGCAAGCAGGAGGACCUGAGUUCAAAUUCAGGUACUGUCA
rnacentral:tRNA from 1 species